rnacentral:pre_miRNA from 12 species
GCGGGCCGAGAGCGUGACUCCUGUUCUGUGUAUGGCACUGGUAGAAUUCACUGUGAACAGUCUCGGUCAGUGAAUUACCGAAGGGCCAUAAACAGAGCAGAGACAGAUCCGCGAGUGUCUCG